rnacentral:rRNA from 1 species
UACGUAGGGGGCGAGCGUUGUCCGGAUUUAUUGGGCGUAAAGAGCUCGUAGGCGGCUAAGCAAGUCGGGUGGGAAAUCUCCAGGCUCAACCUGGAGCCUUCGCCCGAUACUGCUUUGGCUUGAGUCCGGUAGGGGAGUGUGGAAUUCCCGGUGUAGCGGUGAAAUGCGUAGAUAUCUGGAGGAACACCGGUGGCGAAGGCGGCGUCCUGGACCAACACUGACACUGAUGAGCGAAAGCCAGGGGAGCAAACGGG